GGCUUUAGAGGUGGGAACAGCCUCCCCACACACCACCAUUGCUGCGGCAGCGGUGGUACAGUAACCCUGAAUUGGGUGAAGAGAUUCGGGUGUGGGCAACCCGGCUAAGGCC
rnacentral:ncRNA from 12 species